rnacentral:rRNA from 1 species
CUAAAGUAUAAGCAAUUAUACAGCGAAACUGCGAAUGGCUCAUUAUAUAAGUUAUCGUUUAUUUGAUAGUACCUUACUACUUGGAUAACCGUGGUAAUUCUAGAGCUAAUACAUGCUGAAAAUCCCGACUUCGGAAGGGAUGUAUUUAUUAGAUUCAAAACCAAUGCCCUCUGGGCUCACUGGUGAUUCAUGAUAACUCUUCGAAUCGCAUGGCCUUGCGCCGGCGAUGGUUCAUUCAAAUUUCUUCCCUAUCAACUUUCGAUGUUUGGGUAGUGGCCAAACAUGGUUGCAACGGGUAACGGAGGGUUAGGGCUCGACCCCGGAGAAGGAGCCUGAGAAACGGCUACUACAUCCAAGGAAGGCAGCAGGCGCGCAAAUUACCCAAUCCCGACACGGGGAGGUAGUGACAAUAAAUACUGAUACAGGGCUCUUUUGGGUCUUGUAAUUGGAAUGAGUACAAUUUAAAUCCCUUAACGAGGAACAAUUGGAGGGCAAGUCUGGUGCCAGCAGCCGCGGUAAUUCCAGCUCCAAUAGCGUAUAUUAAAGUUGUUGUGGUUAAAAAGCUCGUAGUUGAACCUUGGGCCUGGCUGGCCGGUCCGCCUCACCGCGUGUACUGGUCCGGCCGGGCCUUUCCCUCUGUGGAACCCCAUGCCCUUCACUGGGUGUGGCGGGGAAACAGGACUUUUACUUUGAAAAAAUUAGAGUGCUCCAGGCAGGCCUAUGCUCGAAUACAUUAGCAUGGAAUAAUGAAAUAGGACGCGCGGUUCUAUUUUGUUGGUUUCUAGGACCGCCGUAAUGAUUAAUAGGGACAGUCGGGGGCAUCAGUAUUCAAUUGUCAGAGGUGAAAUUCUUGGAUUUAUUGAAGACUAACUACUGCGAAAGCAUUUGCCAAGGAUGUUUUCAUUAAUCAGGAACGAAAGUUAGGGGAUCGAAGACGAUCAGAUACCGUCGUAGUCUUAACCAUAAACUAUGCCGACUAGGGAUCGGACGAUGUUAUUUUUUGACUCGUUCGGCACCUUACGAGAAAUCAAAGU